rnacentral:rRNA from 1 species
CGUGUAGGCGGCUUGGCAAGUCGGGUGUGAAAGCCCUGGGCUCAACCUAGGAAGUGCACUCGAAACUGCUUCGCUUGAGUGUCGGAGAGGAAAGCGGAAUUCUCGGUGUAGAGGUGAAAUUCGUAGAUAUCGAGAGGAACACCGGUGGCGAAGGCGGCUUUCUGGACGAUUACUGACGCUGAGACGCGAAAGCGUGGGGAGCAAACAGGAUUAGAUACCCUGGUAGUCCACGCCGUAAACGAUGGGUGCUAGGUGUCGCGGGCUUUGACCCCUGCGGUGCCGUAGCUAACGCAUUAAGCACCCCGCCUGGGGAGUACGGCCGCAAGGCUAAA